rnacentral:lncRNA from 1 species
CGGCCAGCGGGCCGGCGGGCCGCCGGUCUGCCUUCGUUUCUCGAAAGCCAGAGCCCGAAAGAACCGAAGAAGGCCCCUCCCUGGCGGCGGUCCACCCCCCGACCUCCACCGGUAAGUUUCUUCAUUUUUUUUUGUUUUUCGACACUCCCCCUCCACCCCGGUUGUGCGCCGGGCCUGCGGCCCGCCGGUCCGCCUUCGUUUCUCGAAAGUCGGAGCCCGGAAGAAGGUCCUCUCUGAUCCC